AGAGAAUACUUUCCAGACCUCCACACAUAUAAGUGAAAUCAUGGAAAGUGGGGAGCACCCACUAAAUGCCUAUUUCCCCCUGCUCUCCAAUCCAGACCAAAAUAUCUAAAGUUGAAGCUCUGGGGGCAGAUGGAGGAUGUGCAGAAAAGCAGCUGUCAGGUGGGGAGGCUGAGCAGCCUAAACAAAGCCCAGCUGUGCCUCCAGUCCCUGCAGGGCAUCCUCAGCUUUCAGUUGACAUCCUCUUCAGGCUCCAGGGAGGGUCUUCUCACAAGCCACGAGAACUCUCCACCUCUCUCCUGCCAUUUCCUGAUUGAUUAGUGAUAAACAAAGAACUGGAAAGCCUUUAACUGCAAAACUUUUUGAAGCUUGAAUUUUGCAAGUACGGGACAUUGUGCUUAUGGACAAACCACCUCAUGAAAGGAACAUUGAUCUGGAAAAAAAGGACUCGCGUCUUCUUCUGUACAACAUGGUAUCCUUUUAUUGACUUUGUUAAGACAAUUGAACAUGGUUUUCACCCUCCAUUGACACACAGAACCCUGUGAAGGACCUUCAUUUGACUGCCUACUUUCGAAUGUUUUAAGACCACAACCAUCAACUGAUUUCUUUCUUUCCUGAACAACUGUUAAGUUCUGUAUUCCAUUUGUGGGUAUGUUUUUGUCAACUGAAAUUAAUAAUCAAUAAAAAUAUGUACAUAUUUGCAGGUGGAACA